rnacentral:lncRNA from 1 species
ACCUAAAUGCCUUAUUUUCUUCUGCAAUGCUGCUUGGCCCCAACACAAACUUGACAGUUGUUCCAAAUAGCCAGAAAAUGGCACUUUUGAUUUUUCCAUCCUACAAGAUCUAAAUAACUCUUGUCGUAAAAUGGGCUAACAGUCUGAGGUGCCUGACGUCCAGGCAUUCUUUUACACUUUGGUCCCUCCCUAGUCUCUGCUCACAGUGCAACUUGUCCCAAAUCUUCCUUCUUUCCCUCCCGCCUGUCCCCUCAGUCCCAACCCCAAGCGUCGCUGAGACUUUCCUCUUUCCAAUCUUCCUUUUCUACAGACCCAUCUGACCUCUCCCCUCCUCCCCAGGCUGCUCCUCGCCAGGCCGAGCUAGGUCCCAAUUCUUCCUCAGCCUCCACUCCCCAACCUAUAAUCCUUUUAUCACCUCCCCUACUCACACCCGGUCCGGCUUACAGUUUCCUUCCACAACUAGCCCUCCCCCACCUGCCCAGCAAUUUCCUCUUAAAAAGGUGGCUGGAGCUAAAGGCAUAGUCAAGGACCCCACUGAAAAUCGGACUGUUCAACUGACCUGGCAGCCACUUUCAGAGCCCCUGGAACUCUGGCCCAAGGCUGUCUGACUGACUCCUUCCCAGAUCUUCUCGGCUUAGCAGCUGAAGACCGACACUACUCGAUUGCCUCGGAAGCCUACAAGACCAACACAAAUGCUCUGGGUAACUCACAGUGGAGGCCUGAGCUUUUGGUGUGAUAACAAGAAAUUAUUGCCACGGCCAGUAUCAAGGAGCUUUCCCCUGUGUUUCCUUCUAUUCUCAUAACUAGC